AACGCACAUUGCGCCCCUUGGUAUUCCUUGGGGCAUGCCUGUUCGAGCGUCACUGCAAACCCACUCAUAAAUAUUAUGGUAAUGGUGGAUGUGAAGGGAGGCUACUAAUAUGUCUCAGUCACCCCAUUGAAAUACAUAGGCAGGACAAUUAUCUUUGGCAAAGGACUUAGUAACUGUUUUGAAGACAUAUAUUAGUUUCUUGCUAGGAUUUGGACUGACUUCUAUGAAUCUCCAUCAAAGACAAAUUCUGGGUUGACCUCGGAUCAGGUAGGGAUACCCGCUGAACUUAA
rnacentral:misc_RNA from 1 species